CUCUCUCUUGUGCCCUGGUCACCCCCUUCAGCCUCCACUGACCUCCCAUGACCCUGCGUCCCCCACUGAUUCCCCUCACUGAUCCCCGGUGUCCUGUUGGUCUCCAGGGAGACCCUGGAGUAGGGCUGCCUGGGCCCCGAGGCGAGCGUGGGGAGCCAGGCAUCCGGGUACGUAUGUCUUACUCCACAGCCGAACUCCCUUCAUCCCAGCUCUUGCCUCUGAUUUCCAACCUCUGAGUCAAUGAACCUAAUGUCACCAUCCAGGGUGAAGAUGGCCGCCCCGGCCAGGAGGGACCCCGAGGACUCACGGGGCCCCCUGGCAGCAGGGGAGAGCGUGGGGAGAAGGGUGAUGUUGGGAGUGCAGGACUAAAGGGUGACAAGGGAGACUCAGCUGUGAUCCUGGGGCCUCCAGGCCCACGGGGUGCCAAGGGGGACAUGGGUGAACGAGGGCCUCGGGGCUUGGAUGGUGACAAAGGACCUCGGGGAGACAAUGGGGACCCUGGUGACAAGGGCAGCAAGGGAGAGCCUGGUGACAAGGGCUCAGCCGGGUUGCCAGGACUGCGUGGACUCCUGGGACCCCAGGGUCAACCUGGUGCAGCAGGGAUCCCUGGUGACCCGGGAUCCCCAGGAAAGGAUGGAGUGCCUGGUAUCCGAGGAGAAAAAGGAGAUGUUGGCUUCAUGGGUCCCCGGGGCCUCAAGGGUGAACGGGGAGUGAAGGGAGCCUGUGGCCUUGAUGGAGAGAAGGGAGACAAGGGAGAAGCUGGUCCCCCAGGCCGCCCCGGGCUGGCAGGACACAAAGGAGAGAUGGUGAGUGUGGGC
rnacentral:lncRNA from 1 species